rnacentral:rRNA from 1 species
AUUGAACGCUGGCGGCAUGCCUUACACAUGCAAGUCGAACGGUAACGGGCCUUCGGGUGCCGACGAGUGGCGAACGGGUGAGUAAUGUAUCGGAACGUACCUUUCAGUGGGGGAUAACGUAGCGAAAGUUACGCUAAUACCGCAUAUUCUGUGAGCAGGAAAGCAGGGGAUCGCAAGACCUUGCGCUGAUUGAGCGGCCGAUAUCAGAUUAGCUAGUUGGUGAGGUAAAGGCUCACCAAGGCGACGAUCUGUAGCGGGUCUGAGAGGAUGAUCCGCCACACUGGAACUGAGACACGGUCCAGACUCCUACGGGAGGCAGCAGUGGGGAAUUUUGGACAAUGGGCGCAAGCCUGAUCCAGCCAUGCCGCGUGAGUGAAG